rnacentral:rRNA from 1 species
AUUGAACGCUGGCGGCAGGCCUAACACAUGCAAGUCGAACGAGUGGCGGACGGGUGAGUAAUGUGGGGGAAAGUGCCUGAGGGAGGGGGAUAACCACGGGAAACGGGAGCAAAUACCGUAUACCAUGGGGUGGGCCCAGAGGGGAAUAGCUAGGAGGUGGGGUAACGGCUCACCUAGGCGACGAUCCCUAGCUGGUCUGAGAGGAUGACCAGCCACACUGGAACUGAGCCACGGUCCAGACUCCUACGGGAGGCAGCAGUGGGGAAUAUUGCACAAUGGGCUCAAGCCUGAUGCAGCCAUGCCGCGUGUGUGAAGAAGGCCUUCGGGUUGUAAAGCACUUUCAGCGGGGAGGCGUUACCCGCAGAAGAAGCACCGGCUAACUCCGUGCCAGCAGCCGCGGUAAUUC